GGUCCCGUAGCUCAGCUGGUCAGAGCGUCGUACUAAUAAUUUUCAAUGGAGAAUGAUUACGUAAUAAUGCGAAGGUCGCGGGUUCGAUCCCCUCCGGGACCA